rnacentral:rRNA from 1 species
GACGAACGCUGGCGGCGUGCUUAACACAUGCAAGUCGAACGCAGUGGCGGACGGGUGAGUAACGCGUAAUCAACCUGCCCUUCAGAGGGGGACAACAGUUGGAAACGACUGCUAAUACCGCAUACUGAAGGAGGGGAUUGCGUGUGAUUAGCUAGUUGGAGGGGUAACGGCCCACCAAGGCGAUGAUCAGUAGCCGGUCUGAGAGGAUGAACCGCCACAUUGGGACUGAGACACGGCCCAGACUCCUACGGGAGGCAGCAGUGGGGAAUCUUCCGCAAUGGACGAAAGUCUGACGGAGCAACGCCGCGUGAGUGAUGACGGCCUUCGGGUUGUAAAGCUCUGUUAAUCGGGACGCGGAACCGGAAUAGAAGGCCCCGGCUAACUCGUUGCCAGCAGCCGCGGUAAUU